rnacentral:lncRNA from 1 species
ACUUGGGUUCAUCUUCAUGAGGUGUAAUGGCGCCGGGAUGCGCUCUCCUCUUCUCAUUUGCCAAUUUAUUGCAGAUCCCUCCUCAAAAAAGUUUUGGGACUAACUCAGCCCCAUGGAGAUCAAGGUGAAUUAGAAAAACAACAAAACAAAACAAGAUUCAUUUUAACAUCUCAUUUUUCUAUCUCCAACUUUCCCUCCCCUCCUCCCACCCCAGGAAGAAAAGACUACGUUUGUUUCUGGUGAUACAUUCAUUGUAGGUGGGUGGGUGACUUCUAGAAGAGGAAAAUCAAGAAGAUUUGGAGAAGGAGUCUUGGAAGCUCUGGUGAAGUUUUCCAAAACUGGGAAGGACAGAGUCUGCUCAGCCUGUGUUAGUGGAGAAGAGGGAAGGAAACUGGCUGGAGGCCGCUGGACCCACAGAGGACAAUAGACAAUCUCCUGCUAGAAAUGACAAACCAGUAUCUUGAGUAAAAUAAUGACUUGGACUGUAAGAAAUUAAUUAGAAAACAUCUGUGCAAUGUAGUGGAAGAAAAAGAAAAUGAGACCCAGAAGACCCAAAUCACAAAUCAAAAGGACCUCACAGAAGAUUCUACAAUUGAGAUUAUUUAUCCUGGGAUGCCCACUGGAUCCAAAGAGAGAAACUCUAUAGAAUUAUGAUCUAGGUUUGACUGACUCCUGGCAAGAAGCCCUACCCGCCAGCCAAUUUGGAUGAGCUCUUAUGCUCCAGAUCCAUCAUGAGAAGAACAUGCCCUGGAUUCCUGCUAUCCCUUUAGCCAUGGCUCCAAAAUUAACACACACAAGGAAGACCUGAGGUCAAUCCACAGCCUGGAUUCAAGUCACCUAAUACAUAGGAGAAUCAGAGCUACCCAGCCACACUCAAUCUACGUUAACUGAACCUCAGCUGACCUGCAGAUUUAUGAGUAUGAGAAUAAAGGCUUGUUAAUGUA